CCUACGGGGGGCAGCAGUGGGGAAUAUUGCGCAAUGGGCGAGAGUCUGAACCAGCCAAGUAGCGUGAAGGAUGACUGCCCUAUGGGUUGUAAACUUCUUUUAUAUGGGAAUAAAAUGUUCCACGUGUGGGAUUUUGUAUGUACCAUAUGAAUAAGGAUCGGCUAACUCCGUGCCAGCAGCCGCGGUAAUACGGAGGAUCCGAGCGUUAUCCGGAUUUAUUGGGUUUAAAGGGAGCGUAGGUGGAUUUUUAAGUCAGUUGUGAAAGUUUGCGGCUCAACCGUAAAAUUGCAGUUGAAACUGGCAGUCUUGAGUACAGUAGAGGUGGGCGGAAUUCGUGGUGUAGCGGUGAAAUGCUUAGAUAUCACGAAGAACUCCGAUUGCGAAGGCAGUUCACUGGACUGCAACUGACACUGAGGCUCGAAAGUGUGGGUAUCAAACAGGAUUAGAUACCCUUGUAGUC
rnacentral:rRNA from 1 species